rnacentral:rRNA from 1 species
AUUGAACGCUGGCGGCAGGCCUAACACAUGCAAGUCGAACGGUAACAGGAAACAGCUUGCUGUUUCGCUGACGAGUGGCGGACGGGUGAGUAAUGUCUGGGAAACUGCCUGAUGGAGGGGGAUAACUACUGGAAACGGUAGCUAAUACCGCAUAACGUCGCAAGACCAAAGAGGGGGACCCUCGGGCCUCUUGCCAUCGGAUGUGCCCAGAUGGGCUUUGCUUUUUGGUGGGGGAACGGCUCACCAAGGCGACGAUCCCUAGCUGGUCUGAGAGGAUGACCAGCCACACUGGAACUGAGACACGGUCCAAACUCCUACGGGAGGCAGCAGUGGGGAAUAUUGCACAAUGGGCGCAAGCCUGAUGCAGCCAUGCCGCGUGUAUGAAGAAGGCCGUCGGGUUGUAAAAUACUUUCAGCGGGGAGGAAGGGAGUAAAGUUAAUACCUUUACUCAUUGACGUUACCCGCAGAAGAAGCACCGGCUAACUCCGUG